CCUCACAUAUAUCCUGAUCAGUGCCAUGAUUCAUGAUCAGUCCAAUACCUGGUCCUUUUAUCUACAAAAGUGGCAUUGUAUUUAGGAGUAUCAGCAUGUGUCCAUGCCCGUAACACAUUGUAUAUCUCUGUAUAGUGAAACCAUCUUUCAGUGUUUAGUGCCUGAAUUCCCACUCACAGAGCUACUUGCUGAUAUUCUUACUCGACCAGCGUUGUAUACUGGGAGCUAACUUGUGUCUGUGG